rnacentral:rRNA from 1 species
UACGUAGGGGGCUAGCGUUGUCCGGAAUCAUUGGGCGUAAAGCGCGUGUAGGCGGUCCGGUAAGUCCGCUGUGAAAGUCGGGGGCUCAACCCUCGGAUGCCGGUGGAUACUGUCAGGCUUGAGUACGGAAGAGGCGAGUGGAAUUCCUGGUGUAGCGGUGAAAUGCGCAGGAUAUCUGGAGGAACACCGGUGGCGAAGGCGGCAUCCGUGGACCGGCAUUGACGCGUGAGGCGCGAAAGC